CUGAAACAAUUAACAUACAUUGGGCCAUACAGUCAUGCACAUAGACUGUCAGAUGUAUAAAGCAGCAUAGUGAGUUGCAUUCAUGGCCAAAGACAUAUUAGGUUAAUUAUUUUACAUAAUUAUUUUUCGUCAUUUGCCACGCAUGUAAUCGGUGAAGGAUUCAGGAUUAUCCUGCAUGGAAAUAACGUUUUAAACGUGCUAUAUACAGUAAAACGGUGUUCAAUAUUCAU